UAACAAUAAUAAAAGGAUCCAAAUUGUUCUUCAAAUUUUCUCUCUCGUUUCUCUAUCAUUUUCUCACUUAGCAAACACAUUUCUUUACAUUUUCUCACAUGGUAUCAGAGCUAAUGGCUAACAUAAAUCAAAACACACAAUCCUAUAACUUUGUUACACUUAUCAAACUUGAUCAAAACAACUUUCUGGUAUGGAAGAAUCAGGUUCUAGCUUUGAUCAAAGGAAAUGGACUGGAAGGAUUUAUAAUUGGAGCAAAUCAGUGUCCAAAACAAUAUCUCACUCAUAUCAAUGAAGCAUCAAGCUCCUUAAAUGCUAGAUCAAAUUCAAGAAAUGAGAAUCCUGCUUUUGCCUCCUGGAUCAAAACAUAUCAAUUACUUCUCAGCUGGAUGUUUUCCUCAAUUCAAGAGAAUCUGCUGACAUCUGUUAUUCAUUGUGCAUCUUCUCAUGAACUGUAGGAAUCAUUUACACGAAUGUUUGUUUCUCAAACUCGGGCUAAGGUAAUGCCACUUCAGAUGCUAAAAAGGUUAUAUGCCUAUGACUGCAUAUUUUUCUAAAAUAAAACGUUUAGCUGAUAAUCUUGCUAUUAUUGGAAAGUAUGUUGAACAUAAUGAUCUAGUAACCUAUAUUCUAACAGGUCUGGAUUCAUAAGAUUAUGAAUCACUGGUCACUACAUUACUUGUAAAAGGAGAAAAUAUGAGUCUAGAUGAACUAUAUGCAAUAUUGUUAAGUCAUGAAAUGAGGCUUGAACAAAAGAAAGGAAAAUUGAGUAUUGAUGUCAUGCAUAAUCUCACUGCUAAUGUUGUGCAAAAGAAUCAGAGAUUCUAUAAAGGUAAUUCUGGUUAUCAGAAAGGCAUAAGAGGUUUUGGUGGUAACACAUAAAAUAAUUUUGGAAAUAGAGGUAAUGGAGGAAAUAAUGUGCCAUUUAAGCCAAAUAUAAUCUGUUAGAUCUGUUUUAUACCUGGUCAUAGUGCAAAUAAGUGCAAAAACAUGUAUAAUUCUGCUUUUGUUCCUCAGAGAAGUCUUGGAAGAUGAAAUUUUAGACCCAUGUUUAAUCAGUAUGGUAAAUGUUUCAAUCAAAAUAAUUUUGGUCAAAAGCCUUUCAGUAAUUUUGGAAGAGGUGGCAAUAGUGACUUCUUAAAAGGCUUUGGUUAUCAAGGUUAGGGAUGGCAAAUUUUUCCAGACCCAGCCUGGACCCGAAUAAACCCGGACGAUCCGGUCCGGGUUAAACCCGCCCCGGGUGCAUAAAAAUGCAAAUCCGGGUAGCAUUUUUUCAAACCCGGAUACAUGCGGGUCCGAUUACGGGUUCAACCGAACCCGAAUUUCGGGAACCCGGACCCGCACUACAAUAUUAAUAAUUUAUUAAUUAAUUAAUUUUUAUCAUUAAAUACAAAUAUAAAAGCCAAAAGUAAAAAAAAAAAAGAAAAGAAAUAAAAAGAAACCCUAAAUCCCUACCCCAGCUGCCACCUUUAUUUUCCUCUUCCUUAACAUCAAUUCAAUUCAUCAUCAUCCACCCAUCGUCAAUUCAUCAUCAACAAUAAUAACAAUCAAUAGCAUCCUCAACAUCAAUUUAAAUCAUUGUCAAUUCAUCAUCGAUCAUCAUCAAAGACAAUAAACAAUCUUUGGCACCAUCAAAUUCAACUUUAUCUCUCAUCUCUCAUCAAAUUCCAUCUCAUUUCUCUCUUGUUCUUGGAUGCUGGAUCUUAAACCUUGCUCGCUGCUCUCAUGGCUGCCGCCUCCUGGACUCGCUGGUGCCUCAUUCGACACCUCAAAGAAACUGCUAAUCCACUCUUGCUGGCGCUCGAUCUCAUCUCUCUCUUGUUCGUGGAUGCUGGAUCUCAAACCUUGCUCAUUGCUUUCAUGGCUGCUGCCUCCUGGACUCGCCGGUGUCUCAACCGACACCUUAAAGAAACCGCUAAUCCACUCUUGUACAGAGUCAAAAGGGGCAUGCACAAAGGCUUCAUUGUUCCAGCCUCCAACUUUCUGGGUUUAAAACCCGCAAUCCGGAAACCCGAAUUUUUCCGAGUUGAACCCGUACAGGACCCGGAGAAAGAAAAUGCAGGUUUUUAUCCGGAUUCGGGAAGGAGAAUUGGCAUCCGGGUCCGAAACCGGAAAGGCCAAACCCGGAUCCGGUUUUUGCCAUCCCUAAUCAAGGUUAUCAAGGUCACAUUGCUUAUCCAGAAUCAACUCAUUCAGAUUAUGUUGUUGGACUGCCUUUUGGUUCAUUUUACUCUAGUCCUAGUAAUCCUGCUGCUUUCAACUACUAUAAUGGAGUGAGUAAUGAUCAUAAGUUCAAUCAAAGUCAAAACUCUGUUGCUCCAGUCAUUUCUCCAGUUGAAGUGAUUAAAGAUCCCUCAUGGUAUAUAGAUAGUGGAGCAUCUAGCCACAUCACAAAUAAUUCAUGUAAACUUUUUGAUUUGAAACCUUAUUAUGGAUAAGAAGAAUUACUUGUAGGAAAUUGAAAUGGCUUGAAAUUCAAACAUAUAGGAUAUGUAUUGCUUGCUACACUCUCACAUAAACCACUAUUACUUAAUCAUGUUUUACAUGUGCCUCAUGUAACUAAAAAUUUGCUAAGUGUUUCUCAGCUCUUAACUGAUAACAAAGUUCUUGUUGAAUUUGUUGAUAAUUUCUGUCUCAUUAAGGCCAGGAACACAAGAAUUCUUUUGCUCAGAGGUAUUACUAACGAAGGCUUGUAUCAGAUUCAAGAUGUUAUCUUCUCAAACCUUGAAGUCUCUAAACCAAACUUUCUCAGCUUACUACUCUCAAACUCCUACUCAUAAGCAUUUGUCUAUGUUUUCUACUCUUUCUACUUCUGUUAAGUCAAGUUCCAGUUCAGGUCACUCAAAAAUCUUAGCUUGUUUAAAUAAUGCAGUUUGGAAGCCUACUGCUAUGUCAAUGUUUGUUUAUUCAGUAUAUGUAAAUUUGCUUCACCAAAGGGUAGGACAUUCAGCCAUAUAUACCAUCUUCAACAUUUUGGUUUUGUAGAGACCAAAACCAUAGCACAUGGCAACUCAUAUAUGCUGACCUCUAGAGACCCUCUCAUAUAACAUCUACUCAGGGUUACAACUAUUACUUAUCCAUUCUAGAUGAUUUUAGCAGAUUUACUUAGUUAUUUCCCUUAAAAGCCAAAUCUCAUGCACUACAAGUUUUUGCAAUGUUCAAAAACCUUUAUUGAACAACACCUUGACAGGAAAAUCAAAAUUGUUCAAAUUGGCUGGGGGUGAAUUCAUAUCUUUUUCUUCUCUAUUAGCUGAUUCUGAUAUUCAAUUUAGGUAUCCUUGUCCUCAUAUUCAUAAUCAAAAUAGAAGGAUAGAAAGGAAACGCAGACACAUUGUAAAUAUUGGUCUGACUUUGUUAGCUCAAUCCAAAUUACCCCUGAAUUUUUGGUGGAAUGCAUUCCAAACUGUUGUGUUUCUUCUAAACAGAUUACCUACACUUGUUUUGAACAAUGUAUCACCCUUCUUCAAACUCUUUCAAUAACAUCUAGAUUAUUCAGUUUUGAAGGAUUUUUGCUGUGCAUGUUAUCCUUACCUCAGACCUUAUAAUAGACAUAAACUUGAGUUCAAGUCAAGCAGGUGCAUUUUCAUAGGUUACAGUCCCCAUCAUAAAUGAUAUUAGUGUCUUCAUUCAUCUGGAAAGGUCUAUGUUUCAAACCAUGUAAUUUUUUAUGAAAAAUCCUUUCCAUAUCAGUCAGGUGUUGAUCUUUUUUCAGUCACAAACUCAAGUCUAUCAAAUUCUGAUACAACAUCUUCAUCUUCCUCAAUGCAAGCCUUUCCAGUACCUUUCUCAGCAACUAAAUUCCAAGAACCUCCACCACAAGACUCCUGUAAGAUUUUGUCUCAUUUGCCUAUUAAUGCUUCGCAUGUAUCUUCUUCAAAUAAUCAAGUUCAUGUUACAACAAAACCUAACACAUCUUCUUCAUCUCAACAUACUCAUCAAUUACCAGCAUCACAGCCUUCUGGUCAUCUUAUGAUCACUAGGUCUAAAGCUGGUAUUUUCAAACCUAAAACAUAUCUUAUUGCUCUUUUGUCCAAACCCUCUGAACUAACUUUUGUAGCAUAAGCUUUAAUAGAUCCUAAAUGGUUUGAAGCCAUGAAAGAAGAAUUUAAUGCUCUUCAAGCAAAUCAAACUUGGAUUCUGGUUGAACCUACAAUACCUAUCAAAGUAGUUGGUAACAAAUGGGUAUUCAGAAUCAAAUACAACUCAGAUGGGUCAAUAUCUAGAUACAAAGCAAGACUUAUUGCCAAGGGGCUUUAUCAGACUUAUGGUGUUGACUAUAGUGAAACCUUUAGCCCUGUUAUUAAGUCAUCUACAAUAAGGAUUGUUCUUAGUUUGACAGUGAUGAACAUGUGGCUUAUUAGACAGGUUGAUGUCAAUAAUGCCUUCUUAAAUGGGAUCCUUGAUGAAGAUGUUUAUAUGGAACAACCAGAAGGGAUUGUUGAGCCUUUUAAGCCUCAUCAUGUUUGCAAACUAAAAAAAGCUCUUUAUGGAUUAAAACAAGCUCCAAUGGCCUAGUUUGAUAGAUUAAAAUCUGCCAUGGUUACACAAUGGAUUUUUGUUAAUUGUAAGAAAGAUUCAUCCUUGUUUUACAAGUGGGUUAAUGGUCACAUUUUGCUAGUUCUAGUGUAUGUAGAUGAUAUAAUCAUCACUGGUUCUAAUCCACUUAGUGUGUUGCAAGUAAUUUCUUAUAUGCAAACCACUUUUGCUCCCAAAGAUUUCGGAGAGCUUAAUUACUUUCUUGGUAUCUAAGUAACAAAAACCAAAGAAGGUAUUCAUCUUUCUUAAAGUAAAUACAUUGCUGAUUUGCUAUCUAAAUAAGGCAUGGAUAGUUGUAGUCCAGUUCCUACACCAAUGGCUACCUCUUAUCAACUCACAAAGCACUCAGGCACUAAAAUUGAUAAUUCUUAUCAGUACAGAAGGUUUGUUGGGGCAUUACAAUAUAUGACAUUAACCAGGCCAGACAUAGCCUUUCCAGUGAACAAACUAAGUCAAUUUCUUGCAGUUCCUACAAUAGAACAUUGGCAAUCUUGCAAGAGGCUACUGAGAUAUCUUAAAGGUACAAUCUACUAUGGUCUUCAGCCAUAUCAUAGUGGUAAUUUACAAAUAACUUGCUUCAGUGACUCGGAUUGGGCAUGUGAUAGAGAUGAUAGAAGGUCUGUAGCAAGCUACGUAGUGUACCUUGGUUCCAAUUUGGUGUCAUGGUCUUCAAAGAAGCAGCAUGUAGUAUCUAGAUCUAGCACAGAGUCAGAAUACAGUGCUCUGGCAUUGGGUACAACUGAGGUUUUGUGGAUUCAAGCUUUGUUUACUAAGUUAAAAUUUAAAAUGAAAGCAACACCAGUUAUGUGGUAUGAUAAUUAGAGUGCUAUAUCCUUGGCUACUAAUCUAGUUUAUCAUGCAAAAACUAAACAUAUUAAGUUUGAUAUCAAUUUCAUUAGGGAGAAAAUUGCAGCAAAACAAAUUUCAAUCAGCUUUGUUCCUAGCGAGGAUCAAACAACUGAUAUUCUCACUAAAGCACUGACAUAUGGCCAAUUUUAGUAUCUUAAUCCAAGCUGAAUGUUCUUCUUGGACCAUUUAGCUUGAGGGGGAAUGUUAGCAUAUGGGCUGAAACAGGGCUAUAGCAAAAUAUUGUUUAGGGUCUUGCUAAGCUUAUUGGACGCACACACAGCAUAUAUUUUCUCAUGUGUAUAAAACAUAAUUUGUUAAUUGUACUGUGCAUGGUUAUUUUUGUAGAUUCUAGUAGCUUUAGUUGAUCUUUUCCAACUGCUAAAUAAAUAGUUGUAAAAGUUGUAACAAUAAUAAAACGAUCCAGAUUGUUCUUCAAAUUUUCUCUCUCGUUUCUCUGUCAUUUUCUCACUUAGUAAACACAUUUCUUUACAGUUUCUCACAUACCUGAAGAGCUAAAAGAUUCCCAAUAGAAGCAGGGAGCUGUCAUGUUAGAAGAUUCCUACGAAUGGACAGUUCAGCCGAUCUCUUCGGGAAUUUCCCCAGCAAGCUUGUUGUUAUUGGCAUGAAACGCGAUGAGAUUAGAGCAAUGAGACAAAUUGGUAGGCAUUAGACCCGAAAAAGAGUUGUCUGUGAUCAUUAGUGUUUCAAGGCUGAACAGGUUCCCAAUUUCACGGGGAAUUUCACCAUGGAAACUGUUGUCUGCAAUGUUAAUGUGCCUGAGGAAGCUGAGGUUUCCAACAUAAGGGGAUAAGAAACCUCUUAAGCUUUGGUACUUUCUCAAAUCUAACUUAGCCACUUUUUGGUGCCGAUGAGCACAAGUCACACCAGUCCAUUGACCCAAGUUUAUAGAAUUGUUCAAUGAAGUCGUAAAUCCAAUUGGAUCAUGAAAGUGUGACCUUAUGGCAAGCAAUGCGAGAUGAUUUGUCUCGUUUGAAUAAGGGGCAGAAGAGCUAUAUGAAUGAAGCAACAGGCUGCUGAAGCACCAUAUGAGAGUGGCAGCGCAGCUAAAAGAAAUGGAAUUAGGCAUGUUUUGAGUUUGAUGCCAACGAUUAGAUAAGACUAUAAUAUUUUUUCAUGUUUAUU
rnacentral:lncRNA from 1 species